UGGCUGGUAGCUUAAUGGUAAAGCCCCCUCCUUUUAAGAGGGAGACUGCAGGUUCGAUUCCUGCCCAGCCAA
rfam:Candidatus Woesebacteria bacterium RIFCSPLOWO2_01_FTLL_39_25 rifcsplowo2_01_scaffold_44, whole genome shotgun sequence.